AUACGAAGGGGGCUAGCGUUGUUCGGAAUAACUGGGCGUAAAGCGCACGUAGGCGGAAUGUUAAGUUAGAGGUGAAAUCCCAGGGCUCAACCCUGGAACUGCCUUUAAUACUGGCAAUCUAGAGAUCGAGAGAGGUGAGUGGAAUUCCGAGUGUAGAGGUGAAAUUCGUAGAUAUUCGGAGGAACACCAGUGGCGAAGGCGGCUCACUGGCUCGAUACUGACGCUGAGGUGCGAAAGCGUGGGGAACAAACAGGAUUAGAAACCCCAGUAGUCC
rnacentral:rRNA from 1 species